GUGUACUCGGUCCUUUUGAAUGAUGCGUCGACUGUGCUGUGCUUUCACCAGAAGUCAACAGGAGAGUCCAGUGGUCUCGCAAAACAACCUUCCCAGCAGUUCGAUCUCCUGUUACGUUAUCGACAUGGUCUCUUAUCAUAUGCCAAUUGGUGGACACCUGUAUGAGCCAGAUGGAGGAUGAUGGUGGUGUUUGUGCUUCAGGCAGAAUGUCCCAGUAAUGAGUGUGCUAUUGCAACACCACAAUCUGCCAUGGCAGUAUAAUUACUUGAGAAAAUGGGUCUGAGAGAAACUCCAACAAGAGGACAGCUACCAUCUUCUUGCGGUUUAAAGCUUUGGGAGGUGUUGCAGCAGCUGUAACGGACACUGUUGAGCAGUCUUGGUCCGAAAUUGUUACUUUGCAGGUAGAAACAAGACACUGCGAACACCUGAUGGAAGAUGUGGAACUUUUUUCUUCUCCCGGAUGACAAACAUGCACUUUAUCAUUUCAACAUGGCAUCAUGACUUUGCGUUAACAUGCACACCACUUUCCUAAAGCCAAAUGGCGUGUUAUCUGUAAGCACUUUGAGCUAGCCACGUGUAUGUAUGCGCAUUAUCGCGAGACUGUCACACGCGUGUGAAGAGAACAUUGGGAAAGGCUUUAGUAACACAAAACAACUGUCCAACAUCACACGCUUGGGGGGACAAACUGUUGGCUUUAGGAAAGAAACAUUGGGGAAAACAAAAAAAACAUGACACGCAGGAUGCAAUCCCAGCUCUCCUGUGGGAAAGCCCUGUGUUUUACCCAUCCACCACCCGCAGGACUUAUGUCCUUUUCAUACUACUCACUACAGCAAAAAUUCACACGGAAUGUAGGUCAAUGGCGUCCGAACGGCGUUGAUAAACGCCCUAAAAAGCGAUUAUGCAUCAUAACCUGCCAAAACGGCAUACAAAUUGGUGUCAGACAUACGCCACUUACUGAGAUCAGUCUGGUUAUUUAUUUUGCUAUAUGUGAUCACUAGGGCGGUGUUCAAUUGAAGAAAUUCUUAGUCGACUAACGCUGAAUUCAAUUGUAUAGACUAAUCGAUUAGUUGAUUUAAUCGACAGGUCUGUAAAUCUGAGUUUCUUUGCAAAGAGGCAUGCAAAAGCACCACUUUAAUUCUUUUUUACCAGAGAUGUGCUCAUAAGUUUCUUGGAAAUAAGUCAUUCAGCAUGAAAAGCAUAAAACAUGAGUAAUCAACUAAAGGAAUCUAAGCUGACUAAGACCAAAACGACCGAUUAGUCGACUAAUGGUGUGUCAGCGCCCUUAGGGAGCAGCCCUAGUGAUUGCUGGCAGUUUCAUCUGCCAACAGCAUUUGUCUUGCACAUAAAUGGCGGCACGGGGGAUCAGUGGUUGGUGCGUCUGCGCACAGAAAGUGGGCACUGGGCGACACAUUUUGUAUGAAAGUGCUUUGAAAUGACAAAGGUUUUUUUUUUUUGUUACACAGCAUGUAAAAUGUUCUUUGAAUUGUUUCAAAUAAAUAAAUCACCUUAAAGAA